rnacentral:lncRNA from 1 species
GGAGGUUACCUUUAGGAUCUUUCUUUCAUCUCUAAAGUAUACAAUAUUAUCGUAGUAGAAAUAAUCCUUCUAGGUCAACUAAAAACAUAGGAUAAUCAAAAGAUGACAAAGGAAGAAAAAUGAUAUUGCAUAAAAAUCUUCAAAAAAAAAUUACUUUAUUUCAUCACAAAGUCUUUUAUUACAAGUUUUUACAAAGGAUGAAAACAAAACAAAAGAUGAUAGUAAAUGAAGUCAUAGAAGAGAUGAAG